CCCUUAGAUGUUCUGGGCCGCACGCGCGCUACACUGAUGCAUUCAACGAGUCUAAAACCUGCUCUGAUAGGGGUGGGUAAUCUUUUGAAUGUGCAUCGUGAUUGGGAUAGAUGAUUGCAAUUUUUCAUCUUCAACGAGGAAUGCCUAGUAAACGCAAGUCAUCAGCUUGCAUUGAUUACGUCCCUGCCCUUUGCACACACCGCCCGUCGCUCCUACCGAUUGAAUGAUCCGAUGAAUAUCAUGGAUUGAGGAUGCAAGCAGGUUCGCCUGUCUUCAUCUUCGAGAAGUGAAGUAAAUCUUAUCAUUUAGAGGAAGGAGAAGUCGUAACA
rnacentral:rRNA from 1 species